rnacentral:pre_miRNA from 1 species
AAUAAGCGUAGAAAUUUCCGCGUCGCCCGUUUUAUUUGAAAUUUUCUAUAAUUAACAUUUUUGUUGUUAUGAGAUAAUAAAAUAUGAAUAGUACUUUACUCUGUUGACUUGUGCUUUUAUUUUUUAAAAAAAAAAUUUAAAUAAAAUAAACGGUCAAAGUUGGACACGGAAAACCAUAACUAGCACGGAGG